rnacentral:rRNA from 1 species
GGGUGAGUAACACGUGGAUAACCUACCUAUAAGACUGGGAUAACUUCGGGAAACCGUAGCUAAUACCGGAUAAUAUUUUGAACCGCAUGGUUCAAAAGUGAAAGACGGUCUUGCUGUCACUUAUAGAUGGAUCCGCGCUGCAUUAGCUAGUUGGUAAGGUAACGGCUUACCAAGGCAACGAUGCAUAGCCUACCUGAGAGGGUGAUCGGCCACACUGGAACUGAGACACGGUCCAG